GAUGAAGAACGCAGUGAAAUGCGAUAAGUAGUGUGAAUUGCAGAAUUCAGUGAAUCAUCGAAUCUUUGAACGCACAUUGCGCCCGCCAGUAUUCUGGCGGGCAUGCCUGUUCGAGCGUCAUUUCAACCAUCAAGCCCUGCUUGCGUUGGGGUCCUGCGGCUGCCCGCAGGCCCUGAAAACCAGUGGCGGGCUCGCUAGUCACACCGAGCGCAGUAAUACAUCUCGCUUUGGGCGUGCGGCGGGUUCUUGCCGUUAAACACCCCCUUUUUACCAAGGUUGACCUCGGAUCAGGUAGGAAUACCCGCUGAACUUAAGCAUAUCAAUAAGCGGAGGA
rnacentral:misc_RNA from 1 species